rnacentral:lncRNA from 1 species
GACAUAGUAAUUAUACCAAACAGAACUAUGCAUUUGAAAAGCAAAUAAUAUAAAUAUUUGAGACGUUAAAAUUUAGUUCUUUAAUGUGAUAUCUUUUAUAUCAGACACCAACUUUUUUCCAGCCCCCACCAUUUUACAAACCAUUAUAGUUUCAGCAUAUGUUCAUUUAGACUACUUACUAGAAGUUAACCUAACACUGACCAAUGUAAAACUGACUCAAGACAGAUUAUUUCCCCGCUGGUAAUAUUUAGAGCUCAAGUGAUUUAUUAUUU